UACGGAGGGGGCUAACGUUGUUCGGAAUUACUGGGCGUAAAGCGCACGUAGGCGGCUUUGUAAGUUAGAGGUGAAAGCCCGGGGCUCAACUCCGGAAUUGCCUUUAAGACUGCAUCGCUAGAAUUGUGGAGAGGUAAGUGGAAUUCCGAGUGUAGAGGUGAAAUUCGUAGAUAUUCGGAAGAACACCAGUGGCGAAGGCGACUCACUGGACAUGUAUUGACGCUGAGGUGCGAAAGCGUGGGGAGCAAACAGGG
rnacentral:rRNA from 1 species